GGGGAUUUAGCUUAGCGGCAUAAGCAUCUGCCUGGCAAGCACAAGGUGGUAAGUUCAAUGCCCG
rnacentral:tRNA from 1 species